rnacentral:rRNA from 1 species
ACGGCGAGUGAAGCGGCAACAGCUCAAAUUUGAAAUCUGGCCUUACGGUCCGAGUUGUAAUUUGUAGAGGAUGUUUUGGGUACCGCCCCGGUUUAAAUUUCUUGGAACAGAAUGUCAAAGAGGGUGAGAGUCCCGUCUUGGACCGCGGUAGGGCCUGUGUAAAACUCCUUCGACGAGUCGACUUGUUUGGGAAUGCAGGUCAAAAUGGGUGGUAAAUUUCAUCUAAAGCUAAAUAUUGGCCAGAGACCGAUAGCGCACAAGUAGAGUGAUCGAAAGAUGAAAAGCACUUUGAAAAGAGAGUUAAACAGUAUGUGAAAUUGUUGAAAGGGAAGCGCUGGCAACCAGACUCGUGCGCGGGGUUCCCCCUUGCUUCUGCUUGGGUUAUUUCCCCGUGUCCGGGCCAUCAUCAGUUUCGGGGGCCGGUUAAAGGCUUUGGGAAUGUAUCCACGCCUUCGGGGGUGGACUUAUAGCCCAAGGUGUCAUGCGGCCACCCGGGACUGAGGAACGCGCUUCGGCGAGGAUGAUGGCGUAAUGGUUGUCAGCGGCCCGUCUUGAAACACGGACCAAGGAGUCUAACAUCUAUGCGAGUGUUCGGGUGUCAAACCCUUGCGCGGAAUGAAAGUGAACGGAGGUAGGAAGGCUUACGCCUGCACUAUCGACCGAUCCUGAUGUCUUCGGAUGGAUUUGAGUAAGAGCAUAGCUGUUGGGACCCGAAAGUUGGUGAACUAUGCGUGAAUAGGGUGAAGCCAGAGGAAACUCUGGUGGAGGCUCGCAGCGGUUCUGACGUGCAAAUCGAUCGUCAAAUUUGCGUAUAGGGGCGAAAGAC